GCCAGGAUAGCAUAAUCUGGUAGUGCGGUCGCCUCGAAAGCGACUGUCCAUUGGACUUGCAGGUUCAAAUCCUGCUCCUGGCG
rnacentral:tRNA from 1 species